rnacentral:lncRNA from 1 species
GCUGUUGGGUGACCACGGUCUGCUUCUGCUACCCAUGUUGCUUCUCGGUUGGUUUGGACUAUUUUCUCCAUGUGUUUUGUGAUUUGUUUUUUAGCAGAAUAUCAUUUUUCUUGGCACGCUCUCUGUUUGUUUGUUUGUUUGUUUUCCAGGAAGUCACAUUUGAGUGUUACCAGUGACGAAUCACAUGCUCCUGGCGUCUCUGCCAAAGCUCACGGGCCAGUGGCUACAUCCAUGCAAAGUAUCCUCACCUCAGGCUGGUGUGUGCUUCUCCAUGCUCCUGUCCCCUUCCCGUGACUCUGUGCUUAAGGUAUGCCAUCAUACAGUUCUGGGGAUCACAUCUGGGGCUAGAGUCCUCUAUGGAGUCAUUCCCCCAGAGUACAGCAGAGUGUACAGAAAACAUAUGGCCCUGGGUCAUCCAACUACCAGGGCAUCUCUUGGACUGUCAUCUCCUUCCCUGACAGGGGCAGGGGCCCAAGUGGCCUUUGAAGCCCAAAGUAUGGGCUUCAGUCCUUGCUCUGGUGUCCUCUAGUCACCAGGCUUGAGGUAAGGAAGGCAGGUAAGAGCUACCAGCCUGUGAGCUUAGCGUAUUCUUUAGUGUUUUUCAGUGUGGAAUCUACCAUAAUCUACAGUGGCUCUCAGUUCCCUGCUAGCUGACAGUGGCUACUCCUGUGUGUGCUUGCGUGGGUUGGUAUGGGUGUGGGGGUUGUCUUGGCUCCCUAGUCCCGUACCUACCCUUUCCCUACACUCGGGCUAAGAAGAGACUGCAGCAGGGACAAGAGACCCACCCUAUGUACCGACUCCAACCUUAGGGGACCAAGGGAGCCCUGGCAAAGUCCCUGACAUGGAACUCCUUCCUUCCCACAGGCACUAUGAGUAGGAACCCUCUGCCCACCUGGCAGCCACCUUCUAGUCACCCCCACAGACCCCAGCAACUGCUGCAUCCUACCUCCUACAGACUGGCCUAGUCUGUUCAGUCUGGGGCACUGUAGGAUGGGUGGAGCCAAGGGAAAUGGAUUGAUUCAGAGUGCUGAGUUGAGGAAUCUACAGUCACAAAGAGAAAUGAAGACCAUUAAGUCUGUCCAGAGAGUAGCUAGGCCAAGAAAAUGCGAUUGGUGAUUGAUUGGUGAUGUCUGCUGAGGACGAAGCUGUGUAGAGUGGGCUAGGGCCUUACUAUGUAGCCCUAGCUGUCUUGGAACUUGCUACAUAGACUAGUCUGGUUUCAAGCUCAGAGAUUCUCUUGCCUCUGCCUCUAGAGUGCUGGAAUUAAAGGUGUGCCACU